UACGUAGGGUGCAAGCGUUAAUCGGAAUUACUGGGCGUAAAGCGUGCGUAGACGGUUAUGUAAGUCAGAUGUGAAAGCCCCGGGCUUAACCUGGGAAUGGCAUUUGAGACUGCAUAGCUAGGGUGCGGAAGAGGGAAGCGGAAUUCACGGUGUAGCAAGUGAAAUGCGUAGAUAUCGAUGAGGAACACCAGAGGCGAAGGCGGUUACCUGGACAGUUACUGACGCUCAGGCACGAAAGCGUGGGGAGCAAAAGGG
rnacentral:rRNA from 1 species